AAAUCCGUUGGCUUUAUUGACCGUGAGGGUUCAAGUCCCUCUACCCGCA
rnacentral:tRNA from 1 species